rnacentral:rRNA from 1 species
ACACAUGCAAGUCGAACGGUAACAGGAAGAAGCUUGCUUCUUUGCUGACGAGUGGCGGACGGGUGAGUAAUGUCUGGGAAACUGCCUGAUGGAGGGGGAUAACUACUGGAAACGGUAGCUAAUACCGCAUAACGUCGCAAGACCAAAGAGGGGGACCUUCGGGCCUCUUGCCAUCGGAUGUGCCCAGAUGGGAUUAGCUAGUAGGUGGGGUAACGGCUCACCUAGGCGACGAUCCCUAGCUGGUCUGAGAGGAUGACCAGCCACACUGGAACUGAGACACGGUCCAGACUCCUACGGGAGGCAGCAGUGGGGAAUAUUGCACAAUGGGCGCAAGCCUGAUGCAGCCAUGCCGCGUGUAUGAAGAAGGCCUUCGGGUUGUAAAGUACUUUCAGCGGGGAGGAAGGGAGUAAAGUUAAUACCUUUGCUCAUUGACGUUACCCGCAGAAGAAGCACCGGCUAACUCCGUGCCAGCAGCCGCGGUAAUACGGAGGGUGCAAGCGUUAAUCGGAAUUACUGGGCGUAAAGCGCACGCAGGCGGUUUGUUAAGUCAGAUGUGAAAUCCCCGGGCUCAACCUGGGAACUGCAUCUGAUACUGGCAAGC